rnacentral:rRNA from 1 species
GACGAACGCUGGCGGCGUGCCUAAUACAUGCAAGUAGAACGCUGAAGGAGGAGCUUGCUUCUCCGGAUGAGUUGCGAACGGGUGAGUAACGCGUAAGUAACCUGCCUGGUAGCGGGGGAUAACUAUUGGAAACGAUAGCUAAUACCGCAUAACAGUAGAUACCGCAUGAUGUCUGCUUGAAAGGUUCAAUUGCAUCACUACCACAUGGACCUUCGGUGUAUUAGGUAGUUGGUGAGGUAACGGCUCACCAAGGCGACGAUACAUAGCCCAACUGUGAGGGGGAGUGGCCACACUGGGACUGAGACACGGCCCAGAGGCCUACGGGAGGCAGCAGGAGUGAAUCUUGGGCAAUGGACGGAAGACUGAGCGAGAAACGCCGCGUGAGUGAAGAAGGUUUUCGGAUCGUGAAGCUCUGUUGUAAGAGAAGAACGAGUGUGAGAGUGGAAAGUUCACACUGUGACGGUAUCUUACCAGAAAGGGACGGCUAACUACGUG